rnacentral:lncRNA from 1 species
UUGGGGGGCAGGGUGGGAUGAGGUCUAUAUACUGCAGUAGUUAUGAAUCAAGUAGGCAGAUGAUUCUGUGUGUUAACAGAUGGGCCGAGUAUUAUGUUUCUAUAGCUCACUUUGGUCAUUAAAACAGUUAUUUUCUUAAAUAUGAACAAGCUUUCAAAAGUUUGAGACAGUCCUGUACUAAGAAUCCAGUUAUACUUGUGACAAGGUCUUAUAAUUACCUUCUGAAGACCAAUUAAAAUAACAUUGUUGGAACUAAUACUGAAUGGCUAGUUAAUUCUUUAAUACAUCCAUCUGCCAAGAAAAACGCUUGAUAAUAUCUGAAUUUAAGAAAGAAUGGUACAUAAAAUCUUCUGGGAGAGACAAUUAUACAGACUGUUCCAAACCCUGAAGGAUAACUAUGUAUAAUGAAAAGUCCAAAAAGCUGAUAUUAAUUAAAUGGAUUUACUUUAAACUUCAAAAACAAUCACUACUAGGACUUUUGAAGUUCUUUGGGUUGAUUAGUUACUAUAUAUAACUAUGGAAGAUUUAUGCUUAACAAACAAACACACACUUUUAAAGGCAGGCAU